rnacentral:rRNA from 1 species
GAUUAGUGGCGAACGGGUGAGUAACACGUGAGCAACCUGCCCUUGACUCUGGGAUAAGCCUGGGAAACUGGGUCUAAUACCGGAUAGGACCUCCUGCCGCAUGGUGGGGGGUGGAAAGCCUUGUGCGGUCUUGGAUGGGCUCGCGGCCUAUCAGCUUGUUGGUGGGGUGAUGGCCUACCAAGGCGACGACGGGUAGCCGGCCUGAGAGGGUGACCGGCCACACUGGGACUGAGACACGGCCCAGACUCCUACGGGAGGCAGCAGUGGGGAAUAUUGCACAAUGGGCGGAAGCCUGAUGCAGCGACGCCGCGUGGGGGAUGACGGCCUUCGGGUUGUAAACCCCUUUCGGCAGGGAACAAGCCGCUUCGGUGGUGAGGGUACCUGCGGAAGAAGCGCCGGCUAACUACGUGCCAGCAGCCGCGGUAAUACGUAGGGCGCGAGCGUUAUCCGGAAUUAUUGGGCGUAAAGAGCUCGUAGGCGGUUUGUCGCGUCUGCUGUGAAAGCCCGGGGCUCAACCCCGGGUCUGCAGUGGGUACGGGCAGGCUGGAGUGCAGUAAGGGAGACUGGAAUUCCUGGUGUAGCGGUGAAAUGCACAUAUAUCAGGAGGAACACCGAUGGCGAAGGCAGGUCUCUGGGCUGUAACUGACACUGAGGAGCGAAAGCAUGGGGAGCGAACAGGAUUAGAUACCCUGGUAGUCCAUGCCGUAUACGUUGGGCACUAG